AUAUAUAUCACUCCUGGUUUUCUACGUUCCUCAUGUUCCUCAGGUUAGCUUCUCCCAGUUUAGGUUUUGUUAGUGUUUCCAGUUCAUCCCUUCGUUCCUGUACACGUAGUGUUUUGUACAGCCACCUGUCAUGGUCCCUGUGCCUCUUCGGCUGGCUCACUCCAGGCCACAUGUUGUUUUUGUUUAUGUUCCCUCGCUCUCUCCUUAUUCUCCUCUCUGCCUGGGCAGAGCUCAUUUUGGGCUCCCGCCUUUGGCCCACGCACCUGGCCUGAUUACCAGCAGCUGCUGCUCAUUGACCUGGUUUCCUGCCACUACUUGAGGUGAUGGCUGUGAGCUUCUCGUCGCUGAAUCAUUGAACUGAAUAUCCUGGACCUGUCCCUGAACCCGUUUGGAGUGUCUGGAUGAUGGAGUAGCAUGGAGUGUGGAGAAGUGUCAGCAUGAGUGGCAGAUGAGGAGUGAGUGUGCGAGCAAGAAGAGGAGAAAGGAGAGCAUGUGGAUUUCCUUCCUUCCCCCCCUGGAGCCCAGAGAUCCCCCUUUCCCUGCACCUGCACAUAUAUUGCACCAUGGACUUUAUUCCCUUCCCCACCUACCCAUCCUUGGAGCCUUUGCCCCUUUACCUUGUCUAUAUUCUGAAAAUUGCUUAUUUUAGAUAAACUUUUGAACUCUCUUUCCGUGAAGCUUGGGUCUGCACCUAACUCCGUUCCAUACGUCUUGACACCACCCAAAAUAAAGUUUAAACCUCCAUUUUGUCUGCGCUUGGGUCUGCUCUCUCUCAUCUCCACAUCAUGACACCGUUAUUCUCAUUUUAGAAUAGAAUAGAAUAGAA